rnacentral:rRNA from 1 species
AUGUUGGGCCUCAAUGAAGCCCCUCCAGCGUACGAGCUCACAUCAGAUCAAUCUUCUGACUCAUCUGGCAUGACCUUUGCUUUUGGGGGCGCUGGUGUCUUCAAGGUGAAGACCAAGAAGGUGCCGACCCUUGCCGCACAGGUUCAAACUUUCAAGAGGCUUGUCAACGACGGGGUCAUCUCAACACAUCAGCUUCACCACUCCGUCGCGCUCAUCGCCAUCUCCGGCAAUGACUACAUGAGCGACUCCGACUUUGAGACCGGCUUCUACACAAGCUUCGAUGAUCUCGACACUUACAUCGGAAACGUGGCGACUGAGAUCCUAGAUAACGUGGCACAACUGCAGAUGCUUGGGGUGAGAAAAGUGCUAGUAAACAAUUUGCAUCCCAUUGGUUGCACGCCUUUGCAUACUAGUUCGAACAACUACACCACAUGCGACCUUCUUGGCAAUUAUGGCGCGUCCGUCCACAACAAGUAUCUAAAGCAAAUGCUUGACGAAAGGGAUAACGUUCACAUUCUGGACCUCUACUCAGCCUUCACUGACAUCCUCAAUCACGCCCCUGGUGGAGGAUCGGAUCAGUCCAACGAUUUCGAUGGCAAGCUGACCCCAUGCUGCGAGAGUACUGAUGAGGGAGGGUUCUGUGGAGAGCGUAGCCAUUCAGGGAAGCGCCUGUACGACCUAUGCGAAAAUCCCGACAAGACGUUCUACUGGGACCAGACACACCCAACACAUGCUGGGUGGGAGGCUGUAAUGAAGGCGCUGCAACAGCCUUUGACGGAGUUUCUCGAUGAGGACUACAUUGCAUAA